AAAUUGAAGAGUUUGAUCAUGGCUCAGAUUGAACGCUGGCGGCAGGCCUAACACAUGCAAGUCGAACGGUAACAGGAAGAAGCUUGCUUCUUUGCUGACGAGUGGCGGACGGGUGAGUAAUGUCUGGGAAACUGCCUGAUGGCGGGGGAUAACUACUGGAAACGGUAGCUAAUACCGCAUAACGUCGCAAGACCAAAGAGGGGGACCUUCGGGCCUCUUGCCAUCGGAUGUGCCCAGAUGGGAUUAGCUUGUUGGUGGGGUAACGGCUCACCAAGGCGACGAUCCCUAGCUGGUCUGAGAGGAUGACCAGCCACACUGGAACUGAGACACGGUCCAGACUCCUACGGGAGGCAGCAGUGGGGAAUAUUGC
rnacentral:rRNA from 1 species